GCAGAAUAUUAAGAAGGGGGUUGUGUGGAAGGAGAUUUGGGAGAAGGGAGACUUCCGAGGAAGAUUAGGCAGAGUGGGCAGGAAGACCAGCUCUCAUGUGGGGGUGGGAGGCUCUCUUCCUUUUUUGCUCCUGUUCCUCCUUUUCUCUAGCUGGCAGGCCUCUUCUCCUGCACAGUGGUCCUGUCGGUGCUGCUGUGGCUGGGGCCCUUCUUUUACUAUCUGCCCAAGGUAAUGAGCAGAGGAGGCAUGAGCAUGGCUGGGAGGGGUAGCUGUAUUCCAGGACAUCGAGGUAGUCAGCCCACCUCCUCUGCCUCAAGGCUGUCCUGGCUUGCAUCAACAUCUCCAGCAUGCGCCAGGUGUUCUGCCAGAUGCAGGAACUUCCACAACUAUGGCACAUCAGCCGAGUGGACUUUGUGAGAAAUGCCAUUACCCCCAGAUUGCCCCCUCUCAUCUUGUUAGCAUCCCCAGCCUCUGCCCUGAACCAAACCUAAUUGUCCUGGUCUUAAGUUCUGCAACCCACCCACUCCCCCAGCAAACAUAACUCCUAGUAUGCUUUACUCACAGGCAAGGGAAAGGAUGGGGUUUGAACCCCUUUGGCCUGAAUAUUUGUAACUUCCCAACUGGUGCGGGUCAUUACAUUUGGUGUGUGUCCCAUUGAAUCAACCCUGUUGUUUCCUUCUGUCAUGCUUUCCACUUCUUCCUGGAUCAUCUCUCCCCAUCACUUGCCUUGGUAGUCACUGCCCUGGAUCUCUUUACCCAGCAGUGAUGGCCUGGCUUUUCUUUUGGGCAAUCCACCCCUAUCCCUAUCCUGCAGGCUGUGUGGAUGGUCACCUGGGUGGCAGUAGUGACCCUGAGUGUGGAUUUGGGCCUGGCUGUGGGUGUGGUCUUCUCCAUGAUGACUGUGGUCUGCCGCACCCGGAGGUGGGCAUAGAGAUGAGUGGAGUUGAGGUCGGGGCAGGGGAAGAGAAUGAGGUGCUUGGGGUGACUCUCCAGCCAGGCCAGGCUAAGCUGGAAAUCUGGCCCCACCUUCUUCCCUAGGGUGUAGUGCCUGGCACUUGGACAGGCUGAGGGGACAGAGCUCUACAGACCACUCAGAGGAAGCCCCAGGGUGGGUGGGCUGCAGCCAAAGAAGGAAGGGAAGAUUAGCCCCAGACAUUUCUCUGAUCCUUUGACCUCUUAGCUCCUCCAGGUCCCGGGGCUCUGCAUCCUGAGCUAUCCAACACCACUGUACUUUGGGACCCGUGGGCAGUUUCGCUGCAACCUGGAGUGGCACCUGGGGCUCGGAGAAGGAGAAAAGGAGACUUCAAAGCCAGAUGGCCCAAUGGUUGCAGUUGCUGAGCCUGUCAGGGUGGUGGUCCUAGACUUCAGUGGUGUCACCUUUGCAGAUGCUGCUGGGGCCAGAGAAGUGGUGCAGCUGGCCAGCCGAUGUCGAGAUGCUAGGAUCCGCCUCCUCCUGGCUCAGUGUAAUGCCUUGGUGCAGGGGACACUGACCCGGGUAGGACUCCUGGACAGGGUGACUCCAGAUCAGCUGUUUGUGAGUGUGCAGGAUGCAGCUGCUUAUGCCCUGGGGAGCCUGUUAAGGGGCAGUAGCACCAGGAGCGGGAGCCAGGAGGCACUGGGCUGCGGCAAGUGAGGCAGGGGAGCUCACUGACCCAAAGAUUUGCACCGUGUGGGUCUGACCUCAUCAUGUGGAGUGCAGAGGGCCCUGAUGACAUGUGUGUGAUGAGGACCAUGACCCUUGAACCCCCUUACCUAACGUAACUAAUAAAAUGAAGCUGAGAGCUUUGGAAUCCA
ensembl:lncRNA novel transcript